rnacentral:lncRNA from 1 species
CUUUUUGCUGUGGAGCUGCCUCAUGAUUCAUCUGUAAACCCAACCAGACAGGACUGUCCAACAUUUGGACUGAACAAAGGCAGCAGUGAUCAUCUUUAUACUUAGUAAUAGGAAAGCAUAAUUUGUUUCUUGUUUUUCUUGUUUUUUGAUUUGAAAUACUUAGGAACAGAAGUUCUAAUAUUUUCUGUCUGCACUCCAAGGGAUUGGUUCAGAUGCUCCUGCAUUGGAGACCACAGGAAUAAACCCUGUCACCAAUAUGAGAACUACCUCAGGCUAGCCUGCUGGAAGAUAAGAAACAACAUGGACCAGAGCCAAGUCAUCCUAGCCAAGGCUAUCCUAGACCAACCAACACAGCCACAUUCUCAGCUGAUCACAGAUGCAUGAGCAAGCCCAGCCAAGAUCUGCAGAACCACCCAGAGAAACCCAUAGACUCAUGAAAAAUCAUAAAUGUUUGUUGUUUAAGCAACUAAGUUUGGGGAUGGUUUGUUACAUACUAGUAGUUAACUGAUACAAACAACCAUGCUGGACCACUAUACUAUAUUUUCCUUCAAAUGAUACUGGCUUCACUUGACUCUAGGAUCCUCCAGGAAUGGAUAGCUCCAGCUGUGAAGAACCUUCCUUUAGACUAUCACCUCAUUGCUCCUCAUCCCUGUCUUACCCCUGCCCCUACCAUUAUGCCAACCCAUAAAGGCAGUUAUAAUUAUUCCUCACCUUUAUUCCUUAGUUUUUUCUGGAGUAGAGAGGAAACCAGGGUGCCUCAACUCUAGCACAAUUUUGAGCUCUGUUUCCUUGCCUACUUCUUUGCCCAUCUCUCCAUCAUUUAGGAGGUGGGUUGGAAUUAGCCACAGUCAGUUGUGCCAAAAUAAUAUACCAGGGUAAUGAGAAGAAGGCACAGAUAGCGCUGGGAAUCAACCCCUCGCACCUUUGGCCUGUCUCUCAGGGUGAGCUUCUUACUCAGUAGUGGUGGGGACCCAAAGUCCCUGAAGGCAUGCUCCUGCUUUGUCACCUGAUCCCCAAAUGAAACCUUGCAAAGCUAAAUUCUCCCUGCCUGCCAGGACUCAGGCAGGGGGCAGCAAGCAGUACCUACAUAGGACUGAAUGGCCCCAGCUGCUCAACUCGAAUUUAAAAAUAAUUUGGCAAUGUGUUCCACAGAGUGAAAGCCUUCUGGGGCAUUUCUGCCAGAUGCCUCCAGCUACUGGGUUCCCACGGAAAGGGAGUGUCAAGUCCUGGGCCCAGAAGAUAUUCUGGGGAUCUGGAACAGGGUACAUACUGAAGGCAAUCCAUUAAAAAUGGGAUUAGAAAUCUCUCAAAGAAAGAAAAAGAUACAUAAAACAUAACUGUUUUUCUAUUGGAA